AGAGUUUGAUCCUGGCUCAGGAUGAACGCUGGCGGCGUGCUUAACACAUGCAAGUCGAACGGAGUUUACAUGAAACCUAGUGAUUGUAAACUUAGUGGCGGACGGGUGAGUAACGCGUGGGUAACCUGCCAUAUACAGGGGGAUAACACUUAGAAAUAGGUGCUAAAACCGCAUAAGCGCACAGUAUCGCAUGAUACAGUGUGAAAAACUCCGGUGGUAUAUGAUGGACCCGCGUCUGAUUAGCCAGUUGGUGAGGUAACGGCCCCACCAAAGCAACGAUCAGUAGCCGGCCUGAGAGGGUGAACGGCCACAUUGGGACUGAGACACGGCCCAAACUCCUACGGGAGGCAGCAGUGGGGAAUAUUGGACAAUGGGGGAAACCCUGAUCCAGCGACGCCGCGUGAGUGAAGAAGUAUUUCGGUAUGUAAAGCUCUAUCAGCAGGGAAGAAAAAGACGGUACCUGACUAAGAAGCCCCGGCUAACUACGUGCC
rnacentral:rRNA from 1 species